rnacentral:lncRNA from 1 species
UUAAAUGUUACGCUUUUCCAUCUCUCAUUGGAAGGAUUCUAUGAAAAGCUCGAUGCGUGAAGAUGUAUGCAGCACACUGUCCGUUUUGCUUACGUGCUCCUGGGCUAUGCUCACUUCAUUACCCAAAAGACUUACUCCAGGAAUAUCACCAAAUGCCUGAAAAACAGAACGGACAAAACCAACACAUUAAUAUGGCAGCAUUCAGUGAAGUAUCAGAAUGAACAGAGAUGACUUUGAU